AGCGAACGCUGGCGGCAGGCCUAACACAUGCAAGUCGAACGGAUCCUUCGGGAUUAGUGGCGGACGGGUGAGUAACACGUGGGAACGUGCCCUUUGGUUCGGAACAACUCAGGGAAACUUGAGCUAAUACCGGAUGUGCCCUUCGGGGGAAAGAUUUAUCGCCAUUGGAGCGGCCCGCGUCUGAUUAGCUAGUUGGUGAGGUAAAGGCUCACCAAGGCGACGAUCAGUAGCUGGUCUGAGAGGAUGAUCAGCCACAUUGGGACUGAGACACGGCCCAAACUCCUACGGGAGGCAGCAGGGGGGAAUCUUGCGCAAUGGGCGAAAGCCUGACGCAGCCAUGCCGCGUGAAUGAUGAAGGUCUUAGGAUUGUAAAAUUCUUUCGCCGGGGACGAUAAUGACGGUACCCGGAGAAGAAGCCCCGGCUAACUUCGUGCCAGCCGCCGCCGUAAAAC
rnacentral:rRNA from 1 species